CACGUAGGGUGCGAGCGUUGUCCGGAAUUAUUGGGCGUAAAGAGCUCGUAGGCGGUUUGUCGCGUCGGGAGUGAAAACACCGGGCUUAACUCGGUGCUUGCUUUCGAUACGGGCAGACUAGAGGUAUGCAGGGGAGAACGGAAUUCCUGGUGUAGCGGUGAAAUGCGCAGAUAUCAGGAGGAACACCGGUGGCGAAGGCGGUUCUCUGGGCAUUACCUGACGCUGAGGAGCGAAAGUGUGGGAGACGAACAGG
rnacentral:rRNA from 1 species